GAUGAACGCUGGCGGCGUGCCUAAUACAUGCAAGUCGAGCGAACAGAUGAGGAGCUUGCUCCUCUGACGUUAGCGGCGGACGGGUGAGUAACACGUGGAUAACCUACCUAUAAGACUGGGAUAACUUCGGGUAACCGGAGCUAAUACCGGAUAAUAUAUUGAACCGCAUGGUUCAAUAGUGAAAGACGGUUUUGCUGUCACUUAUAGAUGGAUCCGCGCCGCAUUAGCUAGUUGGUAAGGUAACGGCUUACCAAGGCAACGAUGCGUAGCCGACCUGAGAGGGUGAUCGGCCACACUGGAACUGAGACACGGUCCAGACUCCUACGGGAGGCAGCAGUAGGGAAUCUUCCGCAAUGGGCGAAAGCCUGACGGAGCAACGCCGCGUGAGUGAUGAAGGUCUUCGGAUCGUAAAACUCUGUUAUUAGGGAAGAACAAAUGUGUAAGUAACUAUGCACGUCUUGACGGUACCUAAUCAGAAAGCCACGGCUAACUACGU
rnacentral:rRNA from 1 species